AUGCAACAAAAGCUACAUGGGGCUGCUUUGUUCUUGAACCCAAAUAAAUUCUUUGCCAUUAAGGAGUCCAACAAAAGACAAGCUUCCCGUCUCCGUUCAAUGUUCAAUGAUUUGCUACGGAAGAUGGUGCCCGAUGAUGAGCAACAAACAACUAUAAGUAGGGAAGCUGAUGACUAUGAGCUGCAAAGCGAAUCAUUAGUCUAUGUUGUUCAACAUCCGGCUGCGAGCGCAAUUGGAGUGUAUUUGCUCAUAUCCACACCAAAGAACUGUCUAGAGUAUAAGAGAUUGAACAAGCUAUCAUAUGUCUUGUACAACCAGAAAAUGGAAGCUAGGUUUCAGAAUCUGCGUGAGCAAGGAUCUAAAGCAAAGAAAUCUAGCCCACUUGUCCUAGAAGAAUUCCAAUGGGAUAAUGAAUGGGUUGCCAUGGACAGUGAAACACCACUACUUUGGUCUCAAGUUGAUGAAGCUCUGGGUGCGUCGACUCCUCUAGCAGGUCGCAACUAUCCUAGGAGAGCUCGUGGUGAUCCUGAGGAGGGAGAGCGGAUGCUGGACGAGGAGAUGGAGGAGGAUGGCCGUUAUGUGGUGGAGGCCGCCCACAAGGAUCCUACCCUUAAUGAGUGUCUGGAUUGA
rnacentral:rRNA from 1 species